rnacentral:rRNA from 1 species
GGCAAGGCAGCAAUUUGGUAAUACCUGACAAAUACUUAUACUUCAUCUCGCGUUGGACGGUAGCCACGGAAGUCGGAACCCGCUAAUGAGUGUGUAACAACUCGCCUGCCGAAGCAGCUAGCCCCGAAAAGGGAUAGCGCUCUAGUGUCGAGUCUAUCC